rnacentral:tRNA from 1 species
UGCAUCAGCCGGGAAUCAAACCCGGGGCACCCGUGUGGCAGGCAAGCAUUCUACCACUGAACCAAAAGC